GCGCCGCUAGCUCAACUGGUAGAGCAACUGACUCUUAAUCAGUAGGUUCGGGGUUCGAGUCCCUGGCGGCGCA
rnacentral:tRNA from 1 species